rnacentral:rRNA from 1 species
UACGUAGGUGGCAAGCGUUGUCCGGAUUUAUUGGGCGUAAAGCGAGCGCAGGCGGUUUCUUAAGUCUGAUGCGAAAGCCCCCGGCUCAACCGGGGAGGGUCAUUGGAAACUGGGAGACUUGAGUGCAGAAGAGGAGAGUGGAAUUCCAUGUGUAGCGGUGAAAUGCGUAGAUAUAUGGAGGAACACCAGUGGCGAAGGCGGCUCUCUGGUCUGUAACUGACGCUGAGGCUCGAAAGCGUGGGGAGCGAACAGG